rnacentral:rRNA from 1 species
AGUGAACGCUGGCGGUAGGCCUAACACAUGCAAGUCGAACGGCAGCACAGUAAGAUCUUGCUCUUACGGGUGGCGAGUGGCGGACGGGUGAGGAAUACAUCGGAAUCUACUUUUUCGUGGGGGAUAACGUAGGGAAACUUACGCUAAUACCGCAUACGACCUACGGGUGAAAUCAGGGGAUCUUCGGACCUUGCGCGAUUGAAUGAGCCGAUGUCGGAUUAGCUAGUUGGCGGGGUAAAGGCCCACCAAGGCGACGAUGCGUAGCUGGUCUGAGAGGAUGAUCAGCCACACUGGAACUGAGACACGGUCCAGACUCCUACGGGAGGCAGCAGUAGGGAAUAUUGGACAAAGGGCGAAAGCCUGAUCCAGCCAUACCGCGUGAGUGAAGAAGGCCUUCGGGUUGUAAAGCCCUUUUGUUGGGAAAGAAAAGCAGCAGGUUAAUACCCCGCUGUUCUGACGGUACCCAAAGAAUAAGCACCGGCUAACUUCGUG